GACGAACGCUGGCGGCGUGCUUAACACAUGCAAGUCGUACGGUAAGGCCCUUUCGGGGGUACACGAGUGGCGAACGGGUGAGUAACACGUGCGUAACCUGCCCACAACUUUGGGAUAACGCUAGGAAACUGGUGCUAAUACUGGAUAUGUGCUCCUGCUGCAUGGUGGGGGUUGGAAAGCUCCGGCGGUUGUGGAUGGACUCGCGGCCUAUCAGCUUGUUGGUGAGGUAGUGGCCUACCAAGGCGGCGACGGGUAGCCGGCCUGAGAGGGUGACCGGCCACAUUGGGACUGAGAUACGGCCCAGACUCCUACGGGAGGCAGCAGUGGGGAAGAUUGCACAAUGGGCGCAAGCCUGAUGCAGCAACGCCGCGUGCGGGAUGACGGCCUUCGGGUUGGAAACCGCUUUCAGCAGGGACGAAGCUUUUUGUGACGGUACCUGCAGAAGAAGCACCGGCUAACUACGUG
rnacentral:rRNA from 1 species